rnacentral:sRNA from 1 species
AUUAAGAAACAUAAAGCGCUUUCAAAACAAACAAUGGGAGGUAAUGAAAAAUGGGAACAAUCAUCUGUACAACUUGCCUGAAAACAAUCGAGUACUUUGAAGAAGAGAAGGUGACAGUUCUUUACUCUCACUGUGGGUGCGAUCAUAAAACGGAAACGGAAAACGAUAAAUAAUAUAUUUAAAAAGAGCUGGACCCAGGUAACGGGUCAGCUCUUUUUUUU